rnacentral:rRNA from 1 species
CGGGUGGAGUUGAACUGCAAGCCCUGGGAAUUCAGCUGAUGAGUAUGAUUUGCGCUUGGGCAUACUGGCCGCCUUUCAGUGUCCGUCUAACAGCGGGUAUCCGCCUUUUUGGUGGGUAUGUGUGGUGCGCUUAUCACGUGCUGCGUGCAUUGGAAGGUGUGUGGGUCUGCUUGUCAGUGCACUUUCUCAGGGUGUUCACCACGACCGGCGCUGCCAUCUAUCUGCUGUGGCCAAACUGAUCAGGUCUGAUUAUCGUCGGGCUUGGUUGGGUCGGCAGGUGACUCACUUGUCCAUUCACUGGGCUAUGAGUGUUACUAGCCGGCUGUGGCGGAUGUGUGUGGUGCGUCGGAGUUGGCGGCUAUGCAUGCGUGCUCUGUCCUUCGGGCGAGGUUUGAGUCUGGUCGGCCUGUUGCUAGCUUCGGCUGGUCGGUUGAUGGCUUGGUCUUGUUCCGUUGGCGGUUGCGUGUGUUUUAGUUUGGGCCGAUAGUCUGUGGUGUAGUGGUAGACGAUCCACCUGA